rnacentral:lncRNA from 1 species
AGUUGGGCCUUGUGACUAGCUCUUCCUUCCUGCCAGGAGUGGCAGUUGGGUCAGGUGACUAGUCCUUCCUUCCUGCAAGGUGGGUCUUGCUUCCUGGGAUUGGAGGGAAGAGGAUCUUGUUCAGCCCAGUCUGGCGAGGCAUGCUCUUCUUGGUUCAGCCCAAAGACACAGGCUUCUAAAGGCAAAGUUGAAGCUCAGAAAAUGCAAAGAUGCUGUUAGCUCCUCUGGGAGCAUAACCAGUGCCUUGGAGAGAGGAAAGAUGCUAAGUUCAGCAGUCCACACCUUCCCUGCCCCUCUGAGUCUCUCCUUCAUUCAGUGAAAAAUUGAGCCCCAGAAAAGGAGAAGAGCUUCAUUAAACUUGCACAGUUAGAAUGUAGCAGGAUCUACAGUCAAAUCCUAGUAGAAAGAGAAAUUUUAUUUCGGACGGAGAGUUAGUGGGGACUGAAAAUUGUUGAUUUCCCCAAAACUAUUUGUUGCCCAAUAAUGUCAAUUAUUUCCCCUACGACAAUAUGGCAAAAGAAAAGAUCCAGUUGUUAACUAGAAUUCUAUGUCUUUUUGUUUGCAAAUUAAAACAAAAACAUAUCAAAAUAUCUGAAAAAAUCUGAGAUAUCAAAGGUGCCUCUUUGUUUAUCCAACCCAUCUUCCCCCUACUAGUCCUUGAUCCAACUCCAGUCUUCUC